rnacentral:rRNA from 1 species
UACGGGGGGGGCAAGCGUUGUUCGGAAUUACUGGGCGUAAAGGGCUCGUAGGUGGCCAACUAAGUCAGACGUGAAAUCCCUCGGCUUAACCGGGGAACUGCGUCUGAUACUGGAUGGCUUGAGUUCGGGAGAGGGAUGCGGAAUUCCAGGUGUAGCGGUGAAAUGCGUAGAUAUCGAGAGGAACACCUGCGGCGAAGGCGGGUAGCUGGGCCGACACGUGACGCUGAAGCGCGAAAGCUAGGGGAGCGAACGGGGA